CAGCAUUUUACUACAUAGUAUACAAGUUUUUAAUGAGCAUUUAAAAAAAUAAGUAAAUCUAGGCUAUUUGAAAAAUACAGUUGAGCCAGUGAGCACAUUUUAUAAUUUGGAAGACACAAAUCAAAUGUGAAGGAUUUGAUUUUCUACAUUUAAAAUGAAGAACCAAAAUUCUCUUCUUGAUUUUCAGCUAAAGGCAGGAGACUACUUUCCAACUCCUUUUGCUUCUGGAGAAGGCCCUGAAAUCACAUUGAUAUAUGUUUGUUAGUAAAAUGUGCACACCUGACUUGCAAUGUUGUGUUAAACUAGAAUUAUAUUCACUUGGAAAACAUAUCGCUUAGGAUAAAAUUUUGUCAUUCAUUCAAAAAUUUUUUCAGAAAUGCUUGUACUAGACCACCUCAUUUGGAUAUAUAGCUAUCACAUUUGUAAGAAAGAUUCUAUUUUUAGCAUAAAAAUCAAUAGGGAUGAAAAUUUUCUUAAAACUCAAGACUCCAUAACUAUGGGGGUAAAUGAAGUCAUCCCUUCUCCCCCAGUCCACCCCCAAGUGCUCUUAGAUACUGAAGGCGUCUCCCUUAACAUACAGUGUUUUUUUUUUGUUUUUUUUUUUUUUUUUUGGAGACGGAGUCUCGCUCUGUCGCCCAAGCUGGAGUACAGUGGUGCAAUCUCACUGCAAGCUCUGCCUCCCAGGUUCACACCAUUCUCCUGCCUCAACCUCCCAAAUGGCUGGGACUACAGGCACCCACCACCACACCUGGCUAACUAACUUUUUGUAUUAUUUUUAGUAGAGACAGGGUUUCACUGUGUUAGCCAGGAUGGUCUUGAUCUCCUGACCUCAUGAUCUGCCUGCCUCAGCCUCCCAAAGUGCUGGGAUUACAGGCUUGAGCCACUGCUCCUGGCCAACAUCCAGUAUUUUAUCUUCACUGUCCUAACCUUACCUUAGAUGCUAACAGAAGGGUCCUGCUGAAAUAACACUGGGUGCUAUAUUGAUGGGUAAAUGUGUACAUCCUAUUCCUUCCUCUUUAUCUCACAAUUUUUGUCUCCACUAAGCAAGAAGUAAACUAACAAACACUUUGUCACUCUAAAGAAAUAACUUAUGUAAAACUCUUAGUAACCCUGUUUGUCUUCAAAUGAGUAAAUAGACCAAAGUCGGGGGACAAUUUUCUAGUUCUAUAGAGGGAAAAACAUCUGAGUCAACAUUUUGAAAUGCAGAGGGUAUUGGUACAUGACGACAUGGAAAAGGGCACUUUUAAACACAGCUUACUCUUCCUCAAGUACAGAGAGUAUAUAGUGAAUCAAAACUAACUACAGCCAUUCUUUUUAAAGCCCAAGGGAUGGAGCGAAGGUGUAAGGAUGUUACCUGUUUGUUUUAAUCAGAGAGCAAAAAGAAGUCACAAUAGUUUGGGAGAAAAAGUAGUAUGGGCCUUAUUGAUGUUUUGCCGUUCC
rnacentral:lncRNA from 1 species